rnacentral:rRNA from 1 species
UGAGGGAAUAUUGGGUCAAUGGACGCAAGUCUGAACCAGCCAAGUAGCGUGCAGGAUGACGGCCCUAUGGGUUGUAAACUGCUUUUAUGCGGGGAUAAAGUGAGGGACGUGUCCCUUUUUGUAGGUACCGCAUGAAUAAGGACCGGCUAAUUCCGUGCCAGCAGCCGCGGUAAUACGGAAGGUCCGGGCGUUAUCCGGAUUUAUUGGGUUUAAAGGGUGCGCAGGCGGCGCGAAAAGUCAGCGGUCAAAGUUCCGGGCUCAACCCGGUGACGCCGUUGAAACUUUCGGGCUGGAGUUCGUGCGAGGGAGGCGGAAUGCGUUGUGUAGCGGUGGAAAUGCAUAGAUAUGACGCAGAACCCCCGAUUGCGAAGGCAGCUUUCCAGCACGCGACUGACGCUGAGGCACGAAAGCGUGGGGAGCGAACAGGAUUAGAUACCCUGGUAGU